AGAUAAGUAAUGAACUGGGGGCGUUACCAAAAUGCCUCUGUAUUCACGUAAAUCAACCAAGAUACACACGUAAGUUUCAAACGGGGUGAACAAAGAGUUCUCAUACAGAAAUUGUACAAACUUCAAAGUCCAAAUUCAGACGAGUAUACUCUCCGCGUUCCAAGCAAACAAAGUGUGUAGACAUUGAUGGCAGUUGUACAGUACACAAUCAGUUGACUGUCACACUGGGACAUUACACAGCCUUCUUUCGGUCAAUCAAGGAUCAAUCUAAAUGGUUUCGUGCAAGUGACAGUGAUGUGAGCUUAGCAACUGUAUUGCAACAAAUGUUGAAUUGGUUCAAGGUGACCGACCACCCAACAGUUUUGUUAUUGAAUACCAGUCGGAGACUUUGAUGGCUAAAUGCUGAGGUACAUGUAUAACGCAUCGCAUAUGAUGACACACAAUUAUAAUGAUUGUACAUUGAAACACUGAUAUCAACAGAAGCCACUGAUGUACAUGUAAAAGUAGUACUACGUUAUAGCAUAGAAGAGGGAUUGGUAACGGAAGUACCCUCGUGUAAUAUCCGCUUUACCUGCGAGGCUGUACAUUCUAAACGGGAAGCUAUUGUAAGUAUACAGUAUAUGUACCUAUUAUGUAAUCAACAGAUUUACCCAACCCCUUGUGUUCACACAAUAAUGUAGACCUGCCGGUGAGAGAACAGACCUCUUCAAACAGAGAACAGGCAAUUACUGUCUGUAUUAUGCUCCUAAUAUAAUUAUUUUUAGAGCUAAAGAGAGCAAAGAGAUUCCACCGCAUAGCGUUGUCUUCACUUACAUGUGAGUCAUUGACAAAAAAAGAUUGAAACAUCAUCAAAGCAACGUACACUCUCUGAUAUCCUUCCGAAAUCCCGUCACUACAAUUGCAAAAGACCAAAAAAUUUCCACAAUUUGAACCUAAGAGUUAGAACCUAAAAGUUAACAAUAGAAAUUUAGGCCUGUUAACUGUUCGUCAUAUCCAUGUGAUUAUCUUAAAAUGUAACGAUCUUUAAUUAUUUCAAGCAUAAUUUAUGAGGGCCUAGUCCAUGCAGCCUCGAUUCCAGGCCGCAAAGAGAAAGGCGGCCUGGGUAUUGUAUCAGGUUGUUGUUGUUUUUAUUUGACCCUCGCAGCAUUGCACCUAGGGUCCAUGCCCGCUUCCCAUGCUCUAGGAGCGCUAUAGGAGUCAGCACGCUGGUCGGUCUGGCAGACACACCUCCUGUUCUGCUGCCCGGCAAAACCCCGGACACCAUUGUGGUGCUGCCGGGGAUCCCACCGCUCAAGUGAUCGGUGGUAGAGCACAUUCUCUCGGGGGCCUUUUUGGACUUUAGCGAGCUGCCCCCUGCCAAGGGAUUCUCGAGGCCAGUGUUGUCCCUGCUGCAAAGGCACAGGGGCAACAUUUGUGGUGGCAAACGCUUCCGAGCUGGCGGACUCAACUCGGGUAGUCCCAGACUUCAAUACUUGGGUGCAAUGUUUUGCGAUAUACACAGCUGUGCUGAUUGCUAAAUCACCAGAGCGAGCCCCGUUCCUCCUCAGCUACACAUCACUAUUGGCCCAAUUCAGCAAAAGGUAUCGGUUCCCGUCGUGGCUACUGUGUGACCGGAAGUUCCGUGGCGAGGCAGCAGAAUCCGGCAGACCGAUUGGUCGAAGGUGGAUGGUUUUAUCGGGUGUUCGGGCUCAGGACCCCCCCCUCAAUGGGUUCGAAACGUCUCUUCCCGGCCUCCAGCAAGCGAUCACUCAAGAGGAGGGGCUGGGUGUUUGGGCUCAGGACCCCCCCCUCAAUGGGUUCGAAGCGUCUCUUCCCGGCCUCCAGCAAGCGAUCACUCAAGAGGAGGCCCCCUCUGGGCGUCGAUCCUGGAGCCUUGUCGGCGGUAGAAUCGGCCGGGGGAGCCUGACCGCCCGUUUGGGGUCGAUUGCAUCUACUUGCAUGUUUGUACAGCUUGCAAACGGGAUCACCCAGAGUUGAGGUGCCCUAAGCAGCGUCCUGCUUGAGGAAUCGGAACAAUUCAGAACAUUGUGGCUAGCUAGUGUAGUAGCGUAGGUUGUGGCAUGCGUUGUGUUGUGGAAAGAUAGAAGGAUCUCCACUAGAAUACAAACAUACGGAACAGUUUGGUCCAAGAUGAGUAGGUGGGAAUGAAUAUUCCAUGUCAUAUCCCCUCCUAUGUAGCUGAAGCUCAAUGGAGAAUAAUAGGCUAGAAUCGUGGAAUAGAACUGGUGUAAUUAAACAAGGGGUGGAUCUCUGCACACUGUAAAAAAUGGUGUGCGUGGUUUUCAUGUCAGUAAAGCAUGUAGAAGGAGAAGAGCAUGGAAAUACCACUGACCUUGUGUGCAUUGUGGGUGGUCAUAACUCAUGCAGGAAACAUUUUUUUAUCCAGGAUGAUUCAUGUUGCUUCGUGCGCUAUUAUGCAAACACGUGCCUUGCUGGAAAAGUGCGGCUCUCCUCUGAUAUGUCUCAAGAUGAAAUUCUAAGGGAAAUCAGCUGGUAUUUGGAAGAGUCUGUACCCUUUUCGAUAGACACACGAAUGUCGAUUUAUCAAGUGAGAUCUAUCAUUACCAAAAUGUUUAACAAUUCUAUUAUCUACAUGGAGAGCCGGAUAUUGCUAGCGGUACCUCUGCGGCCUAAUGCUUGGUCUAGUCUGGCCAUGUGC